GACAGAGGGUGCAAACGUUGUUCGGAAUUACUGGGCAUAAAGAGCACGUAGGCGGUUCGCCAAGUCGUGCGUGAAAUCCCCCGGCUCAACCGGGGAAUUGCGCGCGAUACUGGCGGACUUGAGAUCGGUAGGGGUGAGUGGAACUCCAGGUGGAGCGGUGAAAUGCGUAGAUAUCUGGAGGAACACCGGUGGCGAAAGCGACUCACUGGACCGACACUGACGCUGAGGUGCGAAAGCUAGGGUAGCAAACGGG
rnacentral:misc_RNA from 1 species